GGUGGCUCAGUGGUAGAGUGUGUGCCUCGUAUGCAUGAGACCCUGGGUUCGAUUCCUUAGCACCA
rfam:Dipodomys ordii contig_32451, whole genome shotgun sequence.